UGGGGAAUAUUGGACAAUGGGCGCAAGCCUGAUCCAGCCAUGCCGCGUGAGUGAAGAAGGCCUUAGGGUUGUAAAACUCUUUCGCCGGGGAAGAUAAUGACGGUACCCGGAGAAGAAGCUCCGGCUAACUUCGUGCCAGCAGCCGCGGUAAUACGAAGGGAGCUAGCGUUGUUCGGAAUUACUGGGCGUAAAGCGCACGUAGGCGGACUUGUCAGUCAGGGGCGAAAUCCCAAGGCUCAACCUUGGAACUGCCUCCGAUACAGCAAGCCUAGAGAUCGGGAGAGGUGAGUGGAAUUCCUAGUGUAGAGGUGAAAUUCGUAGAUAUUAGGAAGAACACCAGUGGCGAAGGCGGCUCACUGGCCCGAUACUGACGCUGAGGUGCGAAAGCGUGGGGAGCAAACAGGAUUAGAUACCCCCGUAGUCCCUGAGCGGGCUGGCAAGGCGCAU
rnacentral:rRNA from 1 species